GACGAACGCUGGCGGCGUGCCUAAUACAUGCAAGUCGAACGCAGUGGGGACGGGUGAGUAACACGUGGGUAACCUCCCAUCAGAGGGGAUAACACUUGGAAAAAGGUGCUAAACCGAUACUGAUGGAUGGACCCGCGGUGCUUUAGCUAGUUGGUGGGGUAACGGCUCACCAAGGCCACGAUGCAUAGCUGGCCUGCGAGGGUGAGCGGCAACACUGGGACGGAGACACGGCCCAGACUCCUACGGGAGGCAGCAGUGGGGAAUCUUCGACAAUGGACGAAAGUCUGACCGAGCAACGCCGCGUGAGUGAAGAAGGUUUUCGGGUCGUAAAGCUCUGUUGUUAGAGAAGCGGUAUCUAACCAGAAAGCCACGGCUAACUACGUGCCAGCAGCCGCGGUAAUUC
rnacentral:rRNA from 1 species